UGGCGAUAUUGCUUUAUAAAGAAACAUGUGCACCUGCAAACUGUUUACAAAAGUUUGCAUCGUUAGGUCCUAAUACGUAAAGAACACCCAAAACACAUGAAAGGUUUUGGUGUAAACGGCAUGAAAGUUGGAAAUAUCAGAGAUUUUAAGGAAUAUUGUGCUCCAUAUUGUCAAGAUCACACUUGGGACACACUUGCUGAAGCUGUGGAUUAAAGGUAAUAAUGUUGAAAAAAUAUUCAUUUUCUUUAACAUUGUGAUUAGUUUUUUUAAGAAGAGC
rnacentral:lncRNA from 1 species